rnacentral:rRNA from 1 species
CCUACGGGGGACAGCAGUGGGGAAUAUUGGGCAAUGGGCGCAAGCCUGACCCAGCAACGCCGCGUGAAGGAAGAAGGCCCUCGGGUUGUAAACUUCUUUUAUCAGGGACGAAGCAAGUGACGGUACAUGCUGAAUAAGCCACGGCUAACUACGUGCAAGCAGCCGCGGUAAUACGUAGGUGGCAAGCGUUAACCGGAUUUACUGGGUGUAAAGGGCGUGUAGGCGGGAAAGCAAGUCGGAUGUGAACACCAUGGGCUCAACCUGUUGCCUGCAUUUGAAACUGGUUGUCUUGAGUACUGGAGAGGCAGACGGAAUUCCUAGUGUAGCGGUGAAAUGCGUAGAUAUUAGGAGGAACACCAGUGGCGAAGGCGGUCUGCUGGACAGCAACUGACGCUGAGGCGCGAAAGCGUGGGGAGCAAACAGGAUUAGAUACCCGUGUAGUC